rnacentral:rRNA from 1 species
AAUCAACGCUGGCGGCGUGCCUAACACAUGCAAGUCGAACGCGAAAGCCCCGCAAGGGGUAAGUAGAGUGGCAAACGGGUGAGUAACACGUGGGUGACCUGCCCUCGAGUGGGGGAUAACGUCCCGAAAGGGACGCUAAUACCGCAUGACAUCCUGCUUUUGAAAAAGCGGAGAUCAAAGCUGGGGAUCGCAAGACCUAGCGCUUGAAGGGGGGCCCGCGCCUGAUUAGCUAGUUGGUGAGGUAACGGCUCACCAAGGCGACGAUCAGUAUCCGGCCUGAGAGGGCGGACGGACACACUGGGACUGAGACACGGCCCAGACUCCUACGGGAGGCAGCAGUGGGGAAUUGUUCGCAAUGGGCGCAAGCCUGACGACGCAACGCCGCGUGGAGGACGAAGAUCUUCGGGUCGUAAACUCCUGUCGAGCGGGACGAACGCUUCGCGGAUGAAUAAUCCGCGGAAUUGACGGUACCGCUAAAGGAAGCCCCGGCUAACUCCGUG